rnacentral:rRNA from 1 species
GACGAACGCUGGCGGCGUGCUUAACACAUGCAAGUCGAACGGAAAGGCCCUGCUUUUUUGUGGUGCUCGAGUGGCGAACGGGUGAGUAACACGUGAGUAACCUGCCCUUGACUUUGGGAUAACUUCAGGAAACUGGGGCUAAUACCGGAUAGGAGCUCCUGCUGCAUGGUGGGGGUUGGAAAGUUUCGGCGGUUGGGGAUGGACUCGCGGCUUAUCAGCUUGUUGGUGGGGUAGUGGCUUACCAAGGCUUUGACGGGUAGCCGGCCUGAGAGGGUGACCGGCCACAUGGGGACUGAGAUACGGCCCAGACUCCUACGGGAGGCAGCAGUGGGGAAUAUUGCACAAUGGGCGGAAGCCUGAUGCAGCAACGCCGCGUGCGGGAUGACGGCCUUCGGGUUGUAAACCGCUUUCGCCUGUGACGAAGCGUGAGUGACGGUAAUGGGUAAAGAAGCACCGGCUAACUACGUG